AUAAUGGGUCAGCGACUUAUAUUCUGUAGCAAGGUUAACCGAAUAGGGGAGCCGAAGGGAAACCGAGUCUUAACUGGGCGUUAAGUUGCAGGGUAUAGACCCGAAACCCGGUGAUCUAGCCAUGGGCAGGUUGAAGGUUGGGUAACACUAACUGGAGGACCGAACCGACUAAUGUUGAAAAAUUAGCGGAUGACUUGUGGCUGGGGGUGAAAGGCCAAUCAAACCGGGAGAUAGCUGGUUCUCCCCGAAAGCUAUUUAGGUAGCGCCUCGUGAAUUCAUCUCCGGGGGUAGAGCACUGUUUCGGCAAGGGGGUCAUCCCGACUUACCAACCCGAUGCAAACUGCGAAUACCGGAGAAUGUUAUCACGGGAGACACACGGCGGGUGCUAACGUCCGUCGUGAAGAGGGAAACAACCCAGACCGCCAGCUAAGGUCCCAAAGUCAUGGUUAAGUGGGAAACGAUGUGGGAAGGCCCAGACAGCCAGGAUGUUGGCUUAGAAGCAGCCAUCAUUUAAAGAAAGCGUAAUAGCUCACUGGUCGAGUCGGCCUGCGCGGAAGAUGUAACGGGGCUAAACCAUGCACCGAAGCUGCGGCAGCGACGCUGAUGCGUUGUUGGGUAGGGGAGCGUUCUGUAAGCCUGCGAAGGUGUGCUGUGAGGCAUGCUGGAGGUAUCAGAAGUGCGAAUGCUGACAUAAGUAACGAUAAAGCGGGUGAAAAGCCCGCUCGCCGGAAGACCAAGGGUUCCUGUCCAACGUUAAUCGG
rnacentral:rRNA from 1 species